ensembl:lncRNA
AAUUGAUCUCCUGAGCUUAAUUACAAUAUCUUUUUCAGUUUUCUGCACUAAAUAAUGGGAAAGCAGCUUUUCAAUCAGGUGAAUCUCUCUUUGAACAUUUUGAAAGUUAGAAACUCCCACCAAACUCUUGCCCUUGAUUCUUACUGACGCUGCAAAGACGGAACGCUCCGCGUGCAGGUUCUUGCAGGUGGUGUUCUGGAGAACAGCUGCGUGGCUUACAAACAACUACGACAACAAAAGCUUAGUUGUUGCAGAGGACUGCAGUGCCAGUGUUCCUGACGCUGUGCGCCCAGGUCACCAGGAGCAGCUGGAGGGAUGGAGCUGCUCACAGCAUCGUGCAGGAGCAAAGGGGAAGGCUGAGUGAGAGGGAGGGGAUUUUCAAAGUGAUCAGAAGCAGAUAGCAAUGCACAAAGCUUGGGAUUAAAGGCACUAUUGCUCACUGGAGGUCACUUUUCAUCCUGAAGAAUAAUUCUUGCCUGCUGCUGGCUUAAAAACGCCAUCUCGCAUUCAACAUCUGUUUUAGCAAUCUCUUCCAAAAACAAAACAAUAUUCCCCCAGCGAUUGUGGUACAACAACACAAACCCCUCUGCUCCUGCCUGAUACCGGGAAGUACCCCGCUGUGUUGCAAACCUUGCCCUGUGUUCGUGCACUGUAUUACCCCCAGACAAGUCAGGGGGCUCUCUCACUUACACAUUAAAUACUUGGGAAGGAUUCACCUGGGACCGGGACUGAACAAUUUUGCUGAAGUGAGGAAACUUACAGGAAAGUACUCAGCAGACAGACGGUGUUCGGGGAAGAAACAGAUCCUGCAGAAGCUUUUGCUUGAUGCUCAGUAUGCAUCAGAUAAGCAGGAACUGUAACGUCAGCCAACUUUGGUUGUGCAGCACUUUGCAAGCAGUGGCAGAUCCUGAUUAAUCCAUUGGAUGAAUAGUUUAACCCAAGUUUAAGUCUGCUGAAAACAUGUGCAGCACAGCUCCAGUACAAAGUGCUGCUUCAAUUCUCAAUCUGAUUGUGCCAUUCAUGCCAAACAGAGCUGAAGCGCCGAGUCCUCUGACUGCAGGAGAAGUCUCCCAGCACUGGAGCUUUGUUUCUGAUUCCAGUAUUACCAGAACCAGAGAAAUCUGAUUAAUCUGUGUGGCAUUGUCAUUCAGAAAGUGGAAAGGUGUCAGAUGAUGAAACUGGGAGAAGAAAACAAAAAAAGCAACAGAACGGACAGGAAUUAUUUCUCUCUAGUGUUACAAGACUGAAGAAUUUAAUCAAAUAUCUGUAUCUCACCAGACGAGAAUUGUCAAAUCUGUGUAGGAGUUGAAACGUUUCACAGAGAUAGGUGUGGAAGAACUGCGUCCAACCUGCAUCGAACACAGAUCUUUGGCAUUUAAUGAGUGAAAGAGAAACACUGAAAACAAAAAAUUCUGAAGAAAAUGGCUUCUCCUCCCAGGGCAUUUCCAAGCCAGACUUCCAUUACAAGUCAGGCCCAGAUCCAAUGUGGGAAAAGAGCCAUUACAACAUGCAUACAUGAUUUUAGUUCUGCUUAAAGCAAUGAAAAACCUCUUCUUGUGGCUGUCAUGUACCCACGUGCACAGACUAAAUACACUGACAACAAUUUGAAGCUCUAAAACUCAGUUAUUCACCUUGGUCCCCUAUUUCUUUCUUUCUUCAUCUCUAUCAUCUGCUGCAUGUAUAUUUAACUCUGUGGCUACUGAACUGGGUCUGUCUGGUACUCAGGGAAACUUGUUCUUUAUUUUCCACAUAAAUUGUGUUCCUUCUGUAACAGUGCCCAUAAGGAAACUCUGAAAACCUGUUAUCAGCUUGGGACAAACUGUAGUUGCUGUUAAUGUGUUCCAAAAUGCAGACUAUCACACCUAUUUUCUGUCAUAUUGUUCAGAAAAACGGUGUAUUCCCCCUUCCCCUCCAAUCUAUAGAACAUUUCCUAAUCAACUGCAAAUAAUUUUCUUUCAAAAGACUAUAAAAUGCCCAUUUUAU